rnacentral:lncRNA from 1 species
AGCCAUCGUGACUAUGUAACCAGUAUUGGUCGGUGGCCCAAGGUCUCUCUCCUUUCAGGGUUCAACCUCCAACCUUAUUUCUGCUUCCUUCAUGUUGGAAUUCACACUGUGAGCUGUUACUACUGAUUUGGGCGGAGACUUUUACUGGCUUCCUGAUAACAAAGCCCUCAUAGGAGGGAAUCUCUCAACAGCAGAAGGCUGUGGCUACUGGAACGCUGAGUUCUCUCAGACACAUUGAAAAAGUAUUGUCUUGCUACAGUGAAGCCUUACCGUCAUGGAAUACACUAGACCGUGCUGCUACCAUAUUCUGCGUUGGAUGUGAGUUCUCAAGUUCUGGUCCAUGGGGAAUGGGCAAGUGAAGAUGAGAAUUGCAAAAAACUAUACUCCGACCAAUAGAAUUGUUGUCAUCCUUUCUCUACGACUCCAAGAGAAACUUUAUACUGGAGGAAGAAUAUUCUACCACUUUGGGAUGCUUCCAAAGAAAUGGGAUACCAAAGGAGUGAACUUCAGGUCAUUGGAAGUGGCCAAGCUGGAGGGCGACCUAUGGAGACAUGUCCACUUCUGUAUGUUCUCCUGUGGGUCACAGGACUGUCUAUGCAUCCAUACAAAAUGCAAAACAGGGGAUGACAUCCUAGAAUGAAUUGUGGCAAAACAGCUUCAAACUAGCCAAGAAGACAAACAAAAUAUGGAGGGAAAAUUGAAUAAAAUUAAA